rnacentral:lncRNA from 1 species
AGAGCAAGCCCCUUGCAGAACUGGAGGGUUUUGGGGGCUGGCCGUGCUCACUACACCAUGCUCUUGGCUGCAGGGGCACAGCCCAGCUCAGCCUUUGCAGAAUGAUGCCUGCAAAAGGGAAAUUAUGCUAAAGCAAAGGUAGUUUUGAAUUAUAAGAGAUAAAACAUCAGCGCUCUAGGUAGGUAGAGGAGGACAACAACUAGCAGGGCUUUGUUCUGAAGGUAUAGGGUGACUGUGGAGAUGUUUUGUCAGAGAGCAUGCAGAGCAGGUUACAACCUGGCUGGGCAAGGCCAGGAUCUCUUCCAUACUUGGCUGGGCUUGGGGACUCUGACAAUUUUCCUUAGAACUGACUUUGCUCCACCUCCCACUGCACAUACCCAUAUUGACAUCCCUUACCCAUCGUUUCCCCCCAAAAUAGCUUCUUACAGGGAGCUUGUUUCUCCAUCCCCAGCUCCUAAGUGCCCGUGAGUCGUGUGGCCAUGGUGGGACACCCUCAGCUAACCUGUACCAUCUCAAACGAAGCUUUCAGGCCCUCGAAUGUUUUCACAUUUUCCUAGCUGGGCUGAGCGCCCUUCCAAAUCGUCAGCCUGACGCCACCCAUGCUGAUUUAUGUUCUCUGAGAAAUGCAAUUGUAACUGUUUCCAUGAGGAGAGCCCUCAAAACCCUAAAUGGCUCCAAAGUUGUGAAGCAUGCCCCGGUCUGGGACUGCAACACCCCUGGCGCCCUGAAAAUUGCCCAUUACAUUUUCCUGAAUUUGGCCGUAUCUGGUGCUUCGUUAAAUGGUGUUUUUGCUUCCAGCGAGUGCACGUGUGCAAGGCACACCAUCUGCUCACCCUGACGUGGUGCCCACACUUCCAGACCCUACCAGGACUCCUUUCCCCCACUUAUGGCUUCACUCCAGCAUCUAACCUAAGCACGACAGCGACAGCCAUACAAACAGCAAUCAUCCUGGCUCAUUCAUGUGCUAAUUGACCAGCUGGAGCAGGACCACCACCUCUCAACACAGCACGGCCACACCAGGUAAGUCGUGCCCUUGCAGACCACCCGACUGGUGAUCGGGGCAGGGUACCCUGUGCUGAUGACAGUGGGCAACUGGCGCUUACCUGGGGGUCCUCCACUGGGGCUGCAAGGGCAGAGAGUCCUUUUCUUCUUUCUGAUCAGCGACUGGGUUCACCAAUGGGUUUCCAAAAGAAUUUCCCCAAAGUCAACCUACCACGACUUGUGCUUGUAUCAGUGAUCUCUCAUCUGGUCAUCACAUGGGGCAUCCCAUCAGGUACUUCCUC